AAAAGAAUUCAGCAAUGGUGAGGCAAAUGAUCUUUGUAAUAAGAUUUUCCCAACUUGAAAUGUUGAAUAAAAGACCCUAUAUCAAACUUACACAGGUCUUGGCUCAUGGUAAUCUCUGGAUGUGUGUGUUGGGUCUGAAUCCAUUUAUCUUAUUAGUGGAAGACAGAAUGUGAAAUUAAGAAAAUUAAUAUUUCUAUUUCUGUUAGAGGAAAGUUUCUUGAUAGGUUUCAAAAUGGCCCCAUUAAGCAAUCUCAAAUUGAUAAAAUGUAGACCAAAAUGGAAGGUUAAUUUAAUUAGAAUGCCAUAAGUGGACUCUUCCUGACUAAAUCAAAGACUAGUGUUAAUUUUCUUAAAUUACUCUGUUUUGAAUUCUUUAUAUACCAUUUAGGGUACCUAAUAUAAUACUUUGCACAAAAUAAAUGCUUGAUUUAUGAAAUUGUACAUCUGAAGAAAUAUAAAAGGCUCUAACUUUUGAUUUUAAAAUUGUUUCACUCUCUUGACUGUAUAGUUUAUGAGCCUAUGAUCCUGGAAAACACGCUUGCUAAACUGACCAAUUUUUUGCUUUUUUUUUGGUUUGAUUUCUUUUUUAUUCUUUUUCCUUAGGUAAUUAUCCAGUUGAUAUUUAUCUUGUUCCAGUCACCUUUAGAAAGCUGUUUGGCAAGGGCAGUGACUGGAAGCUGGGAGAGAGGGUCAACAG
ensembl:lncRNA SLC8A1-AS1 SLC8A1 antisense RNA 1